rnacentral:miRNA from 1 species
CUCUGUUCAAAACUGAACCGAAAAUGCAAGACUUGCUUUAAUUGUUUUCCUUCAAUUCCUUUCUGUAUUAUUUACUAUUAUGGAACUCAUGUUAUUUACACUGUGCUAGAUCAAUACAUAUAAACACUGAAAGAAAACAAUUAAAGCAAGUCUUGCAUUUUCGGUUCAGUUUUGAACCGAG